AUGGCAUCCACUAGCAAGGCGUUUAGGCAGUGUGUACAUCCGUGUCGGCGUUAUUUGACACCUGAUGACACACACAGUCUUUGCGUCUUUUGUUUGGGCGAAGAGCACGCACGCGACGUCCUUGAGGGGGCGAUUUGCGUGCAUUGCGAGCGUUUUUCUAUGAAAAAGCUCCGCUCUCGUCUGUCUCUCUUUUCGAGAAAAGAGGGACAGCCAUCUGCUUCCCGCGGUUCAGGACCCGCCGCUGCUGAGGCACGGAGGAGAAUGAGCUCGUGGGGAUCGCAGGUGGAUCUCGCUGAGGAGUUUAGAGAGGGACUUUCCCUUUCACGCUCUUCGGCGGCAGACGAGAGUGAACUUCAGGAAGAAGAUGUGUUGUCAUUAACACUUUCUGAUACUGAAGUUAGUGCUCUGCUGGGUUCUGCCCAGGAAGAGCAGGAGAUGUCUGAGGGUGAAGAAGCUGAGGCUGAGCCUUCUCAAUCUUCCUGCCCUGCGUAUGCGGAGCUGUUAGAGGUUAUGGAGCGCGCCACGGCAAAGUUGGACUUGCCAUGGAAGCGUGCCAGCAAAGUGACGCCGCGUGGUCGCCUCGACGAGCGUUAUUUGUCUGACCAUAGCCCUCCAGCCCAGGUGAGCCUUCCAUUUUUGCCUGAUUUACACACAGAAAUCGAAAAAGAAUGGAAGAGGCCGUUUUCUUCUCGCAUCCAUCGGUUUCAGCAUACGAGUUAUGCCAACAUCGAGGGGAUGCGCGAAAGCGGCUAUGAGAAGAUGCCCCCUGUAGAAGAGACGCUGGCUAGCUAUCUCUCUGUGGGGGAAACAUCCUCUCUUAAACCUCCCUCUUUGCCAUCUAAGCCCCUACAGGAUACAUCCCGCUUAAAUGGCAGAGCAUACGCAGCAGCAGGUCAGGCUGUGGCUUCGUUGCACACAAUGGCAGUGCUUCAGGCUUAUCAGGCUGAUCUGCUGAAGGACCUGGAUAAAGGCGAGGGCCUUUCAGCUGACCAGGUAGCCGAGCUGCGCCGCACCACAGACCUCUCUCUCCGUGCUACCAAGCAGGCCGCCUCCGCCAUGGGUAGGUCUAUGGCAGCCAUGGUGGUAACGGAGAGACAUCUGUGGGUGAACCUGGCAGACAUCGGGAGGAAGGAAAGGGGCUUUCUUCUCGAUGCUCCGGUCUCGCCUUCUGAACUUUUCGGUACCUCCGUCGAGACGGUGGUCGAGAAGUUCAGGGAGGCAAGGACGCGCUCGGCUGCCUUUAAAUCCUUCAUUCCACGAAGGUCCAGGUCCGAGCCCGAACAACAUAGGGGUCCUGGCCCGUCUCGGUCUGAGGAUCAAAGACGGGCGCAGAAGGCUAGUGUCGCGGCUCGCGCUCCUCCCCCGCCUGCGGGUAGGGGUAAGAGGAAUCGUGGGUCACGAGGACAUAAGCAGGACCUGAGGGAUGUGAUUCAGACGAGGCAGCGUACUCGUCCGAAUCAGAGCGAUACCUAG
ensembl:lncRNA